GAGAGUAUAGCUCAAGUGGUAAAGUGCAUGCUUAGCAUGCAUGAGGUCCUGGGUUCAAUCCCCAGUACCUCCU
rnacentral:tRNA from 1 species